rnacentral:rRNA from 1 species
GUCCACGCCUUAAACGAUGAGAACUAGACGUUGGGAGGGUUAGCCUCUCAGUGUCGCAGCUAACGCGAUAAGUUCUCCGCCUGGGGAGUACGGCCGCAAGGUUGAAACUCAAAGGAAUUGACGGGGACCCCGCACAAGCGGUGGAGCAUGUGGUUUAAUUCGAUGCAACGCGAAGAACCUUACCUGGCCUUGACAUCUGUCGAAUUCUGCAGAGAUGCGGAAGUGCCUUCGGGAACGACAAGACAGGUGCUGCAUGGCUGUCGU